GCUUACGGCCAUACCACCUUAGGCACGCGAUCUCGUCUGAUCUCGGAAGCUAAGCAGGGUCGGGCCUGGUUAGUACUUGGAUGGGUGACGCCUGGGAAUACAGGUGCUGUAAGCA
rnacentral:rRNA from 1 species